rnacentral:misc_RNA from 1 species
GAUGAAGAACGUAGCGAAAUGCGAUACUUGGUGUGAAUUGCAGAAUCCCGUUAACCAUCGAGUCUUUGAACGCAAGUUGCGCCCGAAGCCAUCAGGUUGAGGGCACGUCUGCCUGGGCGUCACAUAUCGUUGCCCAAUGCCUAUUGCAGUGCAAUAGGAAUUUCUAGGGCGAAUGAUGGCUUCCCGUGAGCGUUGUUGCCUCGCGGUUGGUUGAAAAUCGAGUCCUUGGUAGGGUGUGCCAUGGUAGAUGGUGGUCGAGUUAGAACGAUACCGAUCAUGUGCAUGCUCCCCAAAAUAUGGCCUCUAUGACCCACACGCGUCUUUUGACGCUCAUGACGAGACCUCAGGUCAGGCGGGGCUACCCGCUGAAUUUAAGCAUAUCAAUAAGGGAGGA